rnacentral:rRNA from 1 species
ACGUCAACAGAGGGAAGCAAAACAGCGAUGUGGAGCAAACCCCUAAAAACGUUCUCAGUUCAGAUUGCAGGCUGCAACUCGCCUGCACGAAGUCGGAAUUGCUAGUAAUCGUAGGUCAGCAUACUACGGUGAAUACGUUCCCGGGCCUUGUACACACCGCCCGUCAAACCAUGAGAGUUGGCAACACCCGAAGUCGGUAGUCUAACCGCAAGGAGGACGCCGCCGAAGGUGGGGUUGAUGAUUAGGGUUAAGUCGUAACAAGGUAUC